rnacentral:rRNA from 1 species
AACGAACGCUGGCGGCAUGCCUAACACAUGCAAGUCGAACGAUGCCUCCGGGCGUGGUGGCUCACGGGUGCGGCGCGCGUGGGACUCUGCCUUUCGGCUCCGGAUACCUCAUUGAAACUUGAGCUAAUGUCGGAUAACGUCCCAAGAUCAAAGAUUGAUCAAACAAGUAUGAGCCGGCGUAGGUUUAGCUUGUGGCGGAGGUAAAGGCCCACCACGGCUACGCUCCUUAGCUGGUCUGAGAGGAAGAGCAGCCACACUGGGUCUGUGACGCGGCGCGGACUCCUACGGAAGGCAGCAGUGGGGAAUAUUGGACAAUGGGGGAAGGCAUGAAGCCGCAAGGCCGGGAGAGUGAUUAAGGCCUUAGGGAUGAAAAGCAGUUUUACCCGGGAAGAUAAUGACGGUACCGAGAGAAUAAGCCCCGGCUAACUCCGUG